AACGCGAAGAACCUUACCUGGGCUCGAAAUGUAGAGGACGACAUCAGAGAUGAUGUUUCUCGAAAGGGUCUCUAUAUAGGUGCUGCAUGGCUGUCGUCAGCUCGUGCCGUGAGGUGUUUGGUUAAGUCCAGCAACGAGCGCAACCCUUAUCGUUAGUUGCCAACGCGUCAAGGCGGGAACUCUAACGAGACUGCCUGGGUUAACCAGGAGGAAGGUGAGGAUGACGUCAAGUCCGCAUGGCCUUUAUGUCCAGGGCUACACACGUGCUACAAUGGUCGGUACAGAAGGCAGCGAAACCGUAAGGCGAAGCAAAUCCUCUAAAACCGAUCUCAGUUCAGAUUGUAGUCUGCAACUCGGCUACAUGAAGUUGGAAUUGCUAGUAAUGGCGUGUCAGCAACAACGCCGUGAAUACGUUCCCGGGCCUUGUA
rnacentral:rRNA from 1 species